rnacentral:rRNA from 1 species
UACGUAGGGGGCAAGCGUUGUCCGGAUUUAUUGGGCGUAAAGAGCGUGUAGGCGGCCAGACAGGUCUGCUGUGAAAACUCGAGGCUCAACCUCGAGACGCCGGUGGAAACCGUCUGGCUAGAGUCCGGAAGAGGAGAGUGGAAUUCCUGGUGUAGCGGUGAAAUGCGCAGAUAUCAGGAGGAACACCGGUGGCGAAGGCGGGUCUCUGGGCCGUUACUGACGCUGAGACGCGAAAGCGUGGGGAGCGAACAGG